rnacentral:lncRNA from 1 species
GUGCAUGUUUGCUUACAAGCUUAAAUUGUUAUAAGGACAUUUUUUGUACAUGAUUGUGAAAUUUUUGAAAAUGACCCUUGAUGUGUAUUAAUAUGAUUCAUUAUACUUAUUACACAUUUCAUAAAUCAUUAAGAGCAUAAUUGAGCAAAGUUGACUGACAUUACGUUCAUGAUUUUACUUAAAGCAUGUCGAACUCAAAGCGAGAAUGAAUCUCGCAGCAACGAGAAGCUACAGUACCUUUCUUG